rnacentral:rRNA from 1 species
UCCGAAGGGGGCUAGCGUUGCUCGGAAUCACUGGGCGUAAAGGGCGCGUAGGCGGCCAUUCAAGUCAGAGGUGAAAGCCCAAGGCUCAACCUUGGAACUGCCUUUGAUACUGUUUGGCUUGAGACCGGUAGAGGUAAGUGGAACUGCGAGUGUAGAGGUGAAAUUCGUAGAUAUUCGCAAGAACACCAGUGGCGAAGGCGGCUUACUGGACCGGUUCUGACGCUGAGGCGCGAAAGCGUGGGGAGCAAACAGG